GUAAAGAGAGUGAGCGUGAGAAUGUUUUUUACUCAUGUAAAAAUAUAUCAAGAAAAUAAUCGCCCGGUUACUAUAAAAAGUCCCGAGAAUCAAUUCUGAGUGUCGUAGGUUUUAGGAUUUGACCAUCAAGAUGAAGUCAUUGGUGCUCUUCGCCAUCUUGGCUGUGACCGUAUCUGCUACCUAUUUCGAGAAACCAGAGGAGGCUCCGAAGGAGGCACCUAAGGUACCUGUCGUCGCCUAUCCCAGUUACUACUACCCAUACGCACACUACUAUUACCCAGCUAGUUACUACAAAACUAUCGGCGCUCCUGUUUCCGCUUACUCCUAUUCCUACGGCCAGUACUAUCACCCAUCGGCGAACUACAAAUAUGCUCCUCUAGUACAUUACGUUCCCUGAAGACCCGGACCUGAUAUCAUAAACCUGAUGAAGCGCAGAAAUUCGGACUGACUGGAUGCGAAGAUGUUUCUUCUUAUGCCAUGUGGGACACAGCCAUGUCAUUUUCAUUCAUCACAGGAGAGCCCGAUACCCUUCUUGUUUCGUGCCUUUCUUCGUGCAAAUUCCUCUUUAACGCCUGCCAUUUGCAUCAAUUGUUGAACUAAUAAAAAUAUUACUUGUUGCAUUUAA